rnacentral:rRNA from 1 species
GAACGCUAGCGGCAGGCUUAACACAUGCAAGUCGAGGGGCAGCAUGAUGAAACUUUCGGGUUUCAUUGAUGGCGACCGGCGCAAGGGUGCGUAACGCGUGAGCAACUUGCCCUUAUCAGGGGAAUAACCGGUGGAAACGCCGACUAAUACCCCAUAGCAUCACUUUAAGGCAUCUUUUAGUGAUUAAAGAAUUUCGGAUAAGGAUAGGCUCGCGUGACAUUAGCUAGAUGGCGGGGUAACGGCCCACCAUGGCGACGAUGUCUAGGGGUUCUGAGAGGAAGGUCCCCCACACUGGAACUGAGACACGGUCCAGACUCCUACGGGAGGCAGCAGUGAGGAAUAUUGGUCAAUGGCCGAGAGGCUGAACCAGCCAUGCCGCGUGAAGGUCACGGCCCUAUGGGUCUUAAACUUCUUUUGUAAGGGAGCAAUAAGGUUCACGUGUGGACUGAUGAGAGUACCUUACGAAUAAGCAUCGGCUAACUCCGUG